GACGAACGCUGGCGGCGUGCUUAACACAUGCAAGUCGAACGGAAAGGCCCUGCUUUUGUGGGGUGCUCGAGUGGCGAACGGGUGAGUAACACGUGAGUAACCUGCCCUUGACUUUGGGAUAACUUCAGGAAACUGGGGCUAAUACCGGAUAGGAGCUCCUGCUGCAUGGUGGGGGUUGGAAAGUUUCGGCGGUUGGGGAUGGACUCGCGGCUUAUCAGCUUGUUGGUGGGGUAGUGGCUUACCAAGGCUUUGACGGGUAGCCGGCCUGAGAGGGUGACCGGCCACAUUGGGACUGAGAUACGGCCCGGACUACUACGGGAGGCAGCAGUGGGGAAUAUUGCACAAUGGGCGGAAGCCUGAUGCAGCAACGCCGCGUGCGGGAUGACGGCCUUCGGGUUGGAGGCCGCUUUCGCCUGUGACGAAGCGUGAGUGACGGUAAUGGGUAAAGAAGCACCGGCUAACUACGUG
rnacentral:rRNA from 1 species